rfam:Oryza nivara chromosome 4, whole genome shotgun sequence.
UUUAAGUGCAACAAUAAGUUUCCGCAUCUAACUUUAAUCGUCUGUCUUAUUUGAUUUUUUUUUAUAAUUAGUAUUUUUGUUGUUAUGAAAUGAUAAAACAUGAAUAAUACUUUACUCGUGACUUUGUUUUUAAAUUUUUUAAAUUUUUUUUUAAAUAACACGGACAGUUAAAGUUGGGCGCGGAGAACCAUGGCUACAUUUAAA